CACGUAGGGCGCAAGCGUUGUCCGGAAUUAUUGGGCGUAAAGAGCUCGUAGGCGGUCUGUUACGUCCGCUGUGAAAACCCAGGGCUUAACCCUGGGCUUGCAGUGGAUACGGGCAGACUAGAGGCAGGUAGGGGAGAAUGGAAUUCCCGGUGUAGCGGUGAAAUGCGCAGAUAUCGGGAGGAACACCAAUGGCGAAGGCAGCUCGCUGGGACGGUACUGACGCUGAGGCGCGAAAGCGUGGGGAGCAAACAGG
rnacentral:rRNA from 1 species